ACGGGAGGCAGCAGUGGGGAAUAUUGCACAAUGGGCGAAAGCCUGAUGCAGCAACGCCGCGUGAAGGAUGAAGGUCUUCGGAUCGUAAACUUCUGUCCUUGGGGAAGAAGAACUGACGGUACCCAUGGAGGAAGCCCCGGCUAACUACGUGCCAGCAGCCGCGGUAAUACGUAGGGGGCAAGCGUUAUCCGGAAUUAUUGGGCGUAAAGCGUACGUAGGUGGCGGCUUAAGCGCAGGGUUUAAGGCAAUGGCUCAACCAUUGUUCGCCCUGCGAACUGGGCUGCUUGAGUGCAGGAGAGGAAAGCGGAAUUCCUAGUGUAGCGGUGAAAUGCGUAGAUAUUAGGAGGAACACCAGUGGCGAAGGCGGCUUUCUGGACUGUAACUGACACUGAGGUACGAAAGCGUGGGGAGCAAACAGGAUUAGAUACCCUGGUA
rnacentral:rRNA from 1 species